rnacentral:rRNA from 2 species
UACGUAGGGUCCGAGCGUUGUCCGGAAUUAUUGGGCGUAAAGGGCUCGUAGGCGGUUUGUCGCGUCGGGAGUGAAAACACCGGGCUUAACUCGGUGCUUGCUUUCGAUACGGGCAGACUGGAGGUAUGCAGGGGAGAACGGAAUUCCUGGUGUAGCGGUGAAAUGCGCAGAUAUCAGGAGGAACACCGGUGGCGAAGGCGGUUCUCUGGGCAUUACCUGACGCUGAGGAGCGAAAGUGUGGGGAGCGAACAGG